rnacentral:rRNA from 1 species
UACGAAGGGGGCUAGCGUUGUUCGGAAUUACUGGGCGUAAAGCGCACGUAGGCGGUUGAUUAAGUCAGGGGUGAAAUCCCGAGGCUCAACCUCGGAACUGCCCUUGAUACUGGCCAUCUCGAGUCCGGAAGAGGUUAGUGGAAUUCCCAGUGUAGAGGUGAAAUUCGUAGAUAUUGGGAAGAACACCAGUGGCGAAGGCGGCUAACUGGUCCGGUACUGACGCUGAGGUGCGAAAGCGUGGGGAGCAAACAGG